UCAAACAUUGCAGGUACUUUAUUUCCAGAACUCUUACAAAUAUAUAAAAGAUGUGUUAAUUACAUCUUGGGAGAGAAAACCCCUAAUUAAGAAUUCCAACAUAACUAUUACAUAGGAUUACAACAUACGAUCACUACAAAGUGUAGAAAAGAAAAAACUACAAAAUGUAGAAAAUAAAGUCCUCCUCACUGUCGUCGACGUCGGCGUAUUUGGGGAAGCCAUGAAGUAUAUCUAUGGUAAUACAUGGAUAACAUAAUUUCAUCAUAUAGCCCGUACAUGCUCGCAUAUAUGUUACCUAGUUCCUAACCAUUGGAUAUUUGAGUAGUGGGUAGUGUCUUAUCCUUUUUGUUAAUAUGAACACUUGUUUAAUGGUUAAUUAGCUAGUCCAAUAAGCAUGGGUGCAAUAUAUAACAUGACUCAUUAUGUGAGCCGAAUUUAUCAUGCAUCUGAUUUCUAUAUAUGCAUACAUAGGAUGGGAACAUAUCUUGCAGCAACGUAUAUAUUAUUGCACAAGCCAAUAUAGGUAAACUAUAGUAUAUAUGGAGGAUGCACUACGUUAUAUUUAGUGCAAGACAGGCUAUGAUCCUGGUUAUCAUUUAAUUAUGUAUAUGCGCACACCUAUAUGAUAGGAAUGCAUGGUUCGACAUUAAUCUAUAUGUGAGAUUAUCAUAUGACAUGGCAUACAUCAUACGCCUGUGAUGUAACCAAACUUGCAUCAUCUAUAUCAUUUAUAAACAUGUUAAAUUUAUGUUGAAUAUGCAUGGGUUCUAAUGGUGUAAUAUGAUUUCAACACCUAUAUUAAUACACUAGUUUUAUAUGAGAAACCAGCAGCAUGAUUAUAUAAGCAUAUUUGACGCGAUUUCACUUCAUCCGGGUCAUAACGGAAUCGAGCAAGAGUAUAUAUCAGAUUUCUAUAUUUCAUGGACAGGAUGCAAAUUCAACUCAGUUUAGCUAUAUGGGACUAAACGGUGCCUGGAGUAAUUAUCCUGCAUGCGUAUUUUGAUUACGGUGCUCAUGGUGUACUAGUCAUAUGCAACAGGGCAUGACAAUUAACUAGCAUACAGCACACCUAGUUAAGUGUGACUAAUUUCAGAUUAAGCCAAUAUAUAAAUGAGAUGCAGAUUUGUUUUGCUUUGAUCAAGUUUCACAUGCAUAUAUACCUGCUGCUAUCUAAUCAGAGUGCAUGUGUAAACGAAUAUUUUGAUCACACAUGGCCGCAUGCCUUGAGUAUUUUACCAGACCCUAUAAUUGAUCGUGGUUGCUAACUAGGCAAAUAUGACAUGCAAACAUUAUCUCAUUUGGUUUUGCCUUACAUGCGUAUCCAACUACUAGUCUGACUAGAGUGCAUGAUGUAGAUUAUAAUUUCAAUUUAGUUAUAUGAGACUAAACAAGCAUAGAGUAAAUAUCAGACAUAACCAUUUGUUCGUCGUAUUUAUUCUAGUACUAACAACAUGGUAUACGACGGAGUAUGUGCAGUUUCUUUGGCUGAUACGAAUCCAUAUACCGGAAUACAUAAUCUGUUUGAGCGAGGUAGGCCAAUGCGUUGAUUGACUUUCAGAUUAAACUAGGUUCCUUAAACAACGUAAAUGAGCUGCAGACUUUGCUCUGCUUGAACAACAUGCUACUAUUUCAGGUUAGUGAAUACUCUAAGCAUAUAUGGCCGAGCAUGCACUAGGUUUAGAUUAAUCAAAAUUAUCAGCCCGGGAGUGCAUGUACUACUUGGUGCUAGUGAAUACUCUAGCGUACAGUGGGCUUGGAUCCAUCAAGAUUAUUAGCUAGACACAUCCGAAUAUUAUUUUUAUUUAAUCACUUCAUGCCUGUAUCCUUGCACCAAAUAAUGCUUCAGGAGCUCGUGCAUCUAGGGAACUAGAACAUGACCUAGAUUUAUUAGGCAUGACUUAAUUUAUAGUGGCAUAUGAGACCAAAAAGACAAUAACUUUGUUUCUAAUUCUUUUAUAACCUUGAUUUGUAUCAUCAUGGGACCGGAGUCACCAUGCAGACCAAACAAAGAGCGAAUUAAUUAGUUUGAUUUAUAUUUGUAUCCUUAACUUGUAUCAUCAUGGCACCGGAAUCACCAUGCAGAUCAAACAAGGACCAAAUUAAUUAGUUUGAUUUCUAUUUGUAUCCUUGAUUUGUAUCAUCAUGGGACCGGAGUCACCAUGCAUACCAAACAAGGAGCCAAUCUAGUUUGAGUAUGUUAAUCAAUCAUUGUGACGACAUAAUCAAGAAUGAAGGAGAAAUAGUAUAGCUUUAGCCUCCCUUUCUCACCUUGCAAACCGAGGCAGCACAACCCAAGAUGGAACGGCGUGCGAACGACCGGUGCUCGUCUGUGUCGAACAGCCGGCCGGCAGAUGCUAAACAGCCAACGCGUAUGAUAGCGUGAAUGUUGAACAACUGACGGCGAGCGACGCUGACGACGAGCGGCCGGCAGCGCGACGACGAGCGGCGACGGUAGCGUACGAGUGAGUGAUGGACUGGAGAGGAUUGGUG
rnacentral:lncRNA from 1 species